ensembl:lncRNA
CCUGGACCUGAUGCAGAGGAAAGCGUCCCUCAGUGUACUUUUAGAAAGCACAUUGACUCCCUUGAGCUGCUCAACAAAGGCCCGCCUCCCCUUCCCCUGCAGCUGGCUUCUCCAGGGGAAACAGCAGGGCUUUGCGGCAGAGGAGCCCUAGAUACAAGUUACUCAGCAUGUGGUCCAUGGACCGGCAGCAUCAGCAUAGCCCAGAGCUGCUGAGAGAUGCAGAAUCUAGGGCAACACCAGACCUCCUGAAUCAGAAGCUGCAGUGAGGGAGAUCCCUGAGUCGUGCAAAGGCCAAGAAAGUGUGAAAAGCAGGCUCUAGCCAGUCCUCGGGCUCAUCAGUAAGUGAUGAGCCCCACUGGCCCAGGCCCAGGCGCUGAACUUGUAACACCUGCCAUGGAAGGUCCUGACAAUUCGAUCGGGAGUGCUCUAAGGGAAGAGGAAUCAAUACCCCACUUUAUUAAUAGUUGGGCUGUAACCCAGUAUCCUCUUUGCAGAGCUGCAAAGGUUAGGAGCCUGCAGCCACCAUCCCUUAUUCCACUCCAGAGUCCCCAUCUCAGGAUACACAGGAAGACAAAGCUGAGGGCAGAGCUGAACGCCAAGGACUGUAAUAAACAUGAGGAUCUGGAUUCGGUGAGCCACAGCCCUCCCUUGGAGCAUGGGUGGGGGUGGGGUGGGCGCGGCAGGAGCAACAGUGCACCCACACCUCCAAGCAGUCCCUUGGUGCCUGCUGGCAGAGCACUGAGUCCUCAGUGAAUGUCUUGUCCUUGUCUGUUCAACUGUCCACAGAAACUUUCUUUUGAGAUACUUUCAUUUUCCUGAACUACUUUACUGAGGUGUAAUUGACAUACCAUGAAAUUCACCAUUUUAACUGUACAAUUCAGUGACUGUCAGUAUCUUUACAGGCUUGUGCACCGUCCCACAAUCUAAUAUCAGAACAUCCCCAUGACCCCAGAGAGGAAUCUGAUGCCCAUUGCAGUCACUCCCCUUCCCCACCCCUGGCCCCUGGCACCACUAAUCUCCUUUUUCUCUCCCCUUCCCUCUCAUCUCCUUCCCUAAAUGUCCACAACAGUCUGGGUUCUGUCACUUUUCUCCCCAGAUUUCCCAAUUUCCCCACAGGGCUCAGCACUGGACGCUUUCUCCUAUCAGGGGAAGGAAUGAUUUAGAAAUGCCUGGAAUUUAGAUUUCGAAGAUAAUUUAGAAGUUCUUGGCACGUAGUAGACGUGUCAUACAUAUUUUAGAAGGAAAACAAAAUAUCUGCCUUUUAAGUGUUUUCUGUGCUUUUUGUGACCAUUUUUGUGCAUUAAAUGUUUCAAGUGCGUUUUGUAAGAAGGGGGAGCAGUGAGCUCAAAGGAAUGAGCCCUUGAGUGGGGAUGUUUCAGACCCGGUGGCCUCCACUAACCACCAUCAAGCAUGGGAGAGCUGAUGAGCUCGUUGCUCACCAGGACAUGGAUCCUCCUCAAACCCGUCAACAAGUCAUCAGAGCUAGAAGCAUGCCACCCAGUUUCCAAGCCCUGACUCUGGGCCAGGGGGUGGCCGUAGAAGGAGCCCCUGCCUUGCCUGGCCUCCUGCUGUCACCAGCCUCUCUCUGGUUCCACAGUUUCCCUGUUUCUGCAGCCUUCCGGGCCCUCUGCUGUGGACGUUUAUCGCUCUGAUUGUCAGGCAUCUGCUUCAGCCCUUUAUUCAGAAGUUAGACACCUCCUCCUCCCUUUGGGGAGCACUCACUUCCCUGUGACAUGUAUUAAGUGAUUGCCUU